UUGUCAUUCCUCAAGAGUAUGACAGCCAGAAAGAAGGCAAACCCUGCGCCUGCGAUGAUCAUGCCCCAUAUCUUCGCGGCAACACCUGACAAACACAGGACAGAGCACAUCACCCAGAUUAGCUAAGAGGAAUUUAAAGCAGAGCCAUGAACAAAUCUCCAGAUGUAAAAGUGACACCCAUGAUGCAGUGGGGCUCCAGUCACUCCAGAUUGAUCCGACCCGUUCUUCAGCCUUCACUCGAACACGUGCCUCGUAC